UUAGACGGUAGGGUAUUGGCCUACCGUGGCUAUGACGGGUAACGGGGAAUUAGGGUUCGAUUCCGGAGAGGGAGCCUGAGAAACGGCUACCACAUCUAAGGAAGGCAGCAGGCGCGCAAAUUACCCAAUCCUAAUACAGGGAGGUAGUGACAAGAAAUAACAAUACAGAACCUUACGGUUUUGUAAUUGGAAUGAGUUAAGUAUAAACCCCUUAACAAGUAUCAAUUGGAGGGCAAGUCUGGUGCCAGCAGCCGCGGUAAUUCCAGCUCCAAUAGCGUAUAUUAAAGUUGUUGCAGUUAAAAAGCUCGUAGUUAAUCUUCUGUUAAUUUUUAUAUAUAAUAUCUCGAUAUUUAUAUAAUAUUAACAUAAUUCAUAUUACUUUUUAGUAUAUGAAACUUUACUUUGAGAAAAUUAGAGUGCUUAAAGCAGGCUAUUGCCUUGAAUACUCCAGCAUGGAAUAAUAUUAAGGAUUUUUAUUCUUCUUAUUGGUUCUAGAAUAAAAAUGAUGAUUAAUAGGAACAGUUGGGGGCAUUUGUAUUUAACAGUCAGAGGU
rnacentral:rRNA from 1 species